AUUGAACGCUGGCGGCAUGCCUUACACAUGCAAGUCGAACGGCAGCACGGGAGCUUGCUCCUGGUGGCGAGUGGCGAACGGGUGAGUAAUACAUCGGAACGUACCCAGUAGUGGGGGAUAACGCACCGAAAGGUGCGCUAAUACCGCAUACGACCUAAGGGUGAAAGCGGGGGCCCGCAAGGCCUCGCGCUAUUGGAGCGGCCGAUGUCUGAUUAGCUAGUUGGCGGGGUAAAGGCCCACCAAGGCGACGAUCAGUAGCUGGUCUGAGAGGACGAUCAGCCACACUGGGACUGAGACACGGCCCAGACUCCUACGGGAGGCAGCAGUGGGGAAUUUUGGACAAUGGGGGCAACCCUGAUCCAGCAAUGCCGCGUGUGCGAAGAAGGCCUUCGGGUUGUAAAGCACUUUUGUCAGGGAAGAAAUCUUUCAGGCUAAUACCCUUGGAAGGAUGACGGUACCUGAAGAAUAAGCACCGGCUAACUACGUGCCAGCAGCCGCAGUAA
rnacentral:rRNA from 1 species